rnacentral:rRNA from 1 species
GAUGAACGCUGGCGGCGUGCCUAAUACAUGCAAGUCGAGCGAACAGACGAGGAGCUUGCUCCUCUGACGUUAGCGGCGGGCGGGUGAGUAACACGUGGAUAACCUACCUAUAAGACUGGGAUAACUUCGGGAAACCGGAGCUAAUACCGGAUAAUAUAUUGAACCGCAUGGUUCAAUAGUGAAAGACGGUUUUGCUGUCACUUAUAGAUGGAUCCGCGCCGCAUUAGCUAGUUGGUAAGGUAACGGCUUACCAAGGCAACGAUGCGUAGCCGACCUGAGAGGGUGAUCGGCCACACUGGAACUGAGACACGGUCCAGACGCCUACGGGAGGCAGCAGUAGGGAAUCUUCCGCAAUGGGCGAAAGCCUGACGGAGCAACGCCGCGUGAGUGAUGAAGGUCUUCGGAUCGUAAAACUCUGUUAUUAGGGAAGAACAAAUGUGUAAGUAACUAUGCACGUCUUGACGGUACCUAAUCAGAAAGCCACGGCUAACUACGUG